rnacentral:rRNA from 1 species
GACGAACGCUGGCGGCGUGCUUAACACAUGCAAGUCGAACGGAAAGGCCCUGCUUUUGUGGGGUGCUCGAGUGGCGAACGGGUGAGUAACACGUGAGUAACCUGCCCUUGACUUUGGGAUAACUUCAGGAAACUGGGGCUAAUACCGGAUAGGAGCUCCUGCUGCAUGGUGGGGGUUGGAAAGUUUCGGCGGUUGGGGAUGGACUCGCGGCUUAUCAGCUUGUUGGUUGGGUAGUGGCUUACCAAGGCUUUGACGGGUAGCCGGCCUGAGAGGGUGACCGGCCACAUUGGGACUGAGAUACGGCCCAGACUCCUACGGGAGGCAGCAGUGGGGAAUAGUGCACAAUGGGCGGAAGCCUGAUGCAGCAACGCCGCGUGCGGGAUGACGGCCUUCGGGUUGUAAACCGCUUUCGCCUGUGACGAAGCGUGAGUGACGGUAAUGGGUAAAGAAGCACCGGCUAACUACGUG